GACGAACGCUGGCGGCGUGCUUAACACAUGCAAGUCGAGCGGUAAGGCCCUUUCGGGGGUACACGAGCGGCGAACGGGUGAGUAACACGUGGGUGACCUGCCCUCAGCUCUGGGAUAAGCCUGGGAAACCGGGUCUAAUACUGGAUAUGACUCCAUGACGCAUGUUGUGGGGUGGAAAGCCUUGUGCGGCUGAGGAUGGGCCCGCGGCCUAUCAGCUUGUUGGUGGGGUGAGGCCUACCAAGGCGACGACGGGUAGCCGGCCUCGAGAGGGCGACCGGCCACACUGGGACUGAGACACGGCCCAGACUCCUACGGGAGGCAGCAGUGGGGAAUCUUGCGCAAUGGGCGAAAGCCUGACGCAGCGACGCCGCGUGAGGGAUGACGGCCU
rnacentral:rRNA from 1 species